rnacentral:rRNA from 1 species
CAAUAGCGUAUAUUUAAGUUGCUGCAGUUAAAGAGCUCGUAGUUGGAUUUCGGGUGGGAAUGGCCGGUCCGCCGUUUCGGUGUGCACUUGCUACGCCCACCUUGCUGCCGGGGACGUGCUCUUGAGUUCACGCUCGGGACACGGAGUCGGCGAGGUUACUUUGAGUAAAUUAGAGUGUUCAAAGCAGGCCCACGCUCUGAAUACAUUAGCAUGGAAUAACACGAUAGGACUCUGGCCUAUCUUGUUGGUCUGUAGGACCGGAGUAAUGAUUAAGAGGGACAGUCGGGGGCAUUCGUAUUUCAUUGUCAGAGGUGAAAUUCUUGGAUUUAUGAAAGACGAACUACUGCGAAAGCAUUUGCCAAGGAUGUUUUCAUUAA